ACAUGGACAUGGCACACAUACUAGCAUACAGGAUAUGAACUACCCGCCAUGGGCCAUUAUGGCAUGCAUUGCAAGCUGAACACCCUGAUCCAGACACAGCUAGCAUUAUAAUACUUCACAUGGAGCGGGCACACACAACCUGCUGCAGAUCCAGGUUGUCUUUUGCUUGUUUUUGCCCCGUCUUUUCAUAGUCUAUUCCCCGCUUGUGCUGGGUCGGGAGCUGGGAAUGGCCAGUCGGGGGUGUCUUUUUUUUUCCUUCCCUGAUAUCGAGCAGGGUGUUGUGCAACACAGCGCAGGGAUACUACUAGUACUUGCACUCGCCUGUACUGUAUAGUUACUGCAGCAGUGCGUUCCCAAGCCUUGCGCGAUGCUUGGUUGAUCUACAUGCACGGCGCUGUGGAGUUUCUGCGCGGCAGGAGACAUCCCGCUGGACUUGCUGGACACCGUUCCUCCAAGCUCUUGCUACUCGAGACAUAUUCCAAUGCUGGUCCCUCCCUGUCAUCUCGCAGCUCUGGGCUGCUACCUGGGCAAUUCCCCUUUGCUUCCUGCCCGAAGAGCACUUCUUCUAUGGAACUCCCCCGCCCUUCAAGCGUUUAUCGUAUAUAUCUAGAUAUAGACAUAUGCCCAUCCCAUCCACCAUGCUGAAACUCCUCUGUGAAUACACGGCCACCAACCCCCCGUUAAUCGUCCUGGUCUUCCUGCUUUUUUCCCUCCCACUAUCCCUCAGCCAAACAGCCCAACUAUCCUCCCGCGCCAAAACAGGCAAUCCCAUCAUAGAAGGCUGGUACGCCGACCCGGAACUUCGCAUCUACGAGGACGCCUUCUACCUCUACCCCACCACCUCCACCAGUUUCAACAACCAGACAUUCUUCGACUCCUUCUUCUCGUCCGACCUGCUCACCUGGCAACGUGCCGGCCGCAUCCUCGACUUCGCUGAUGUUCCCUGGACCACCGACCGCGCCGCCUGGGCCCCCACCGUUGGCUACAAGGACGGCUCAUACUUCCUCUACUACUCCGCCGGAGACGGUGUCGGCAUAGGCGUCGCCGUUUCCAAAUCGCCAGCGGGGCCCUUCAAGGAUGUAUUGGGUCGGCCGCUGAUUGGCGAUUAUGUAUUUGGCGCGCAGCCCAUCGAUGCGAUGGUGUUUAUGGAUGGGCAAGGGGAUGGGGAGGGCCGCGGCGCGGGGAGAAAUUAUCUGUAUUGGGGCGGUCGGGGACAUGCGGUUGUGGGCGAGUUGGCAGAUGACAUGGUGUCGUUCAAGGGCGGUUUCAGAGAAGUGACUCCCGAGAAAGCGUAUGUGGAGGCACCGUGGAUGUUGAAGAGGAAAGGGGUUUAUUAUUUCUUUUAUAGCGUUGGAGGGUGCGUAUUAUUUAUAUUAUUAACCCCCUUUUUUUCCCUUGUGCUUUCACUCUGCUCAUAUGUUAAUGACGAAUUCCGGGAAAAAAAAAAAAAAAAAAAAAAAAAAAAAAAAAACCUAAAAAUAACCAAAAAUAAAACAUAGAUGGGGAGAUCCUUCCUACGCUGUCAAAUAUGUCAAAGGCGACAGCCCACUCGGACCUUUCAGCGGACCCUCCAAACUGAUCCUCAGCAGCGAUCCAGCCAUCGGUACAAGCACAGGCCAUAACAGUGUGUUCAAUGUCGGCGACGAGUACUACAUCGUUUAUCAUCGGCGGCCUCCGGGAGAUGGUGCGCGCGAUCACCGCGUCGUGUGCAUUGAUCGGAUGUAUUUUACUGACAACGGGGAGAUUGAGGUCGUGAAGAUUACGAAUGAGGGGGUGGACGGGGUUACGCUGAAAUGAAAUAUGGUGUAGCUCGUGGUUUAGCAUGGAUAUGGUUGAGUUAAAAGUCAAGGGAUGCAGAAAAAGGGUCGUAGAUAUGGAUAGAUAGAUACGUAUCGCAGUCCCCGUGGAUGACAACAAUAACUGAGAUAUGAUAUGAUCGGAGUUUGGUAUAGUUCUAGUUCGUUCUUUGGGUUAGGAGUAUAUAUAUCUAUAACGCUGUCAUUGUAUAUUCCCUUCCAUUCCAUAACACCAAGCACUCCGGCAUUCCAGAAAAACGCAUGGAAAAAAUAUAUACAAUCAAAUAAAAGCAAAAGUCGC
rnacentral:sRNA from 1 species